rnacentral:rRNA from 1 species
UACGAAGGGUGCAAGCGUUGUUCGGAAUCAUUGGGCGUAAAGCGCGUGUAGGUGGUUAACUAAGUCGGGUGUGAAAUCCCUCGGCUCAACCAAGGAAGUGCAUUCGAAACUAGUUAACUAGAAGACGGUAGAGGAAGGUGGAAUUCCAAGUGUAGAGGUGAAAUUCGUAGAUAUUUGGAGGAAUACCGGAGGCGAAGGCGGCCUUCUGGGCCGUUCUUGACACUGAGACGCGAAAGCGUGGGUAGCAAACAGG